AGCUUGCUCUUGUGGAUCAGUGGCGAACGGGUGAGUAACACGUGAGCAACCUGCCCCUGACUCUGGGAUAAGCGCUGGAAACGGCGUCUAAUACUGGAUAUGUGACGUGACCGCAUGGUCUGCGUUUGGAAAGAUUUUUCGGUUGGGGAUGGGCUCGCGGCCUAUCAGCUUGUUGGUGAGGUAAUGGCUCACCAAGGCGUCGACGGGUAGCCGGCCUGAGAGGGUGACCGGCCACACUGGGACUGAGACACGGCCCAGACUCCUACGGGAGGCAGCAGUGGGGAAUAUUGCACAAUGGGCGAAAGCCUGAUGCAGCAACGCCGCGUGAGGGAUGACGGCCUUCGGGUUGUAAACCUCUUUUAGCAGGGAAGAAGCGAAAGUGACGGUACCUGCAGAAAAAGCGCCGGCUAACUACGUGCCAGCAGCCGCGGUAAUACGUAGGGCGCAAGCGUUAUCCGGAAUUAUUGGGCGUAAAGAGCUCGUAGGCGGUUUGUCGCGUCUGCUGUGAAAUCCCGAGGCUCAACCUCGGGCCUGCAGUGGGUACGGGCAGACUAGAGUGCGGUAGGGGAGAUUGGAAUUCCUGGUGUAGCGGUGGAAUGCGCAGAUAUCAGGAGGAACACCGAUGGCGAAGGCAGAUCUCUGGGCCGUAACUGACGCUGAGGAGCGAAAGGGUGGGGAGCAAACAGGCUUAGAUACCCUGGUAGUCCACCCCGUAAACGUUGGGAACUAGUUGUGGGGUCCAUUCCACGGAUUCCGUGACGCAGCUAACGCAUUAAGUUCCCCGCCUGGGGAGUACGGCCGCAAGGCUAAAACUCAAAGGAAUUGACGGGGACCCGCACAAGCGGCGGAGCAUGCGGAUUAAUUCGAUGCAACGCGAAGAACCUUACCAAGGCUUGACAUAUACGAGAACGGGCCAGAAAUGGUCAACUCUUUGGACACUCGUAAACAGGUGGUGCAUGGUUGUCGUCAGCUCGUGUCGUGAGAUGUUGGGUUAAGUCCCGCAACGAGCGCAACCCUCGUUCUAUGUUGCCAGCACGUAAUGGUGGGAACUCAUGGGAUACUGCCGGGGUCAACUCGGAGGAAGGUGGGGAUGACGUCAAAUCAUCAUGCCCCUUAUGUCUUGGGCUUCACGCAUGCUACAAUGGCCGGUACAAAGGGCUGCAAUACCGUGAGGUGGAGCGAAUCCCAAAAAGCCGGUCCCAGUUCGGAUUGAGGUCUGCAACUCGACCUCAUGAAGUCGGAGUCGCUAGUAAUCGCAGAUCAGCAACGCUGCGGUGAAUACGUUCCCGGGUCUUGUACACACCGCCCGUCAAGUCAUGAAAGUCGGUAACACCUGAAGCCGGUGGCCUAACCC
rnacentral:rRNA from 1 species